rfam:Nippostrongylus brasiliensis genome assembly, scaffold: NBR_scaffold0000914
UUCUCAGUAGCAUAGUGGUUAGUGCACAGGACCGGAUAGGUUGAGACGCGGGUUCGAAUCCCGCCUGAGAUG